AAAGUCGUAACAAGGUUUCCGUAGGUGAACCUGCGGAAGGAUCAUUACACUCAGUAGUUUUCUACUGCUCAGGGAGAGCGGAAAGUUUUCCCAGCUUGCUUCGGCGGCUGGAUUGCGAGUACGCUCUCUGUCUGAACCCUUGUCUUUUUGCGUACUCAUGUUUCCUCGGCGGGCUUGCCCGCCGACUGGACAACCUUAAAACCUUUUUAAUUUUCAAUCAGCGUCUGAAUAAUUAUAAUAAUUACAACUUUCAACAACGGAUCUCUUGGUUCUG
rnacentral:misc_RNA from 1 species